UGGGAGGUCGUCUAACGGUAGGACAUGCGGCUCUGGACCGUAGAAUCGGGGUUCGAAUCCCUGCCUCCCAGCCA
rnacentral:tRNA from 3 species